rnacentral:rRNA from 1 species
GCUGUCGUCAGCUCGUGUUGUGAAAUGUUGGGUUAAGUCCCGCAACGAGCGCAACCCUUAUCCUUUGUUGCCAGCGGUCCGGCCGGGAACUCAAAGGAGACUGCCAGUGAUAAACUGGAGGAAGGUGGGGAUGACGUCAAGUCAUCAUGGCCCUUACGACCAGGGCUACACACGUGCUACAAUGGCGCAUACAAAGAGAAGCGACCUCGCGAGAGCAAGCGGACCUCAUAAAGUGCGUCGUAGUCCGGAUUGGAGUCUGCAACUCGACUCCAUGAAGUCGGAAUCGCUAGUAAUCGUGGAUCAGAAUGCCACGGUGAAUACGUUCCCGGGCCUUGUACACACCGCCCGUCACA